ACCCCCCCCCCCAGUUGUGACAUUUUAGCUUGUACAUUCAAAGAACCAGCUUUUCACGGAGGCCCCAGGACUCUGAUGAAGUUAGUUGAUUAAAACUCGUGGUCAUAGAAAUGGCAGCCACAGUCCAAUAGGUUUAUGACUCAGGGGCAAUGUUCGCUUUGGGAAGCUUUGUUAAUCUAAGCUAGAGGGGAAAGGGGCCUUUUCUUCUGAGUGGCAGAGGGGCCCUGUGGCGGGGUGCAUGGCUUGGUGAGGGCAGUGCUGGGUGGGACUGGCCCCACUGGCCCCUCAGCCAGGGAUCUGUGCCCUGGACAGUCAUACUUAGCAAUUACGUGGGAGUUCAGAGGCAAUGUGCAGUUUGGCUUUACAUAGUAUGGAACAGUUGUGAAGAAUACGUUUCAAGGACACCGAAACUGCCUUAAAACAUCUCCCAAGUCUCUGGCCGUAAGCUGCCAAUGUUUCCAAAUAACUACAGUCGGAGAAGCAGCCGGGGCUGGGUUCGAGUGGGGGAUCUCGUGGUUGGGGCCGGCAGGGCUGCAGUGUCAGCUCAGGUCCUAGAGCCACUUAGCAUGGAUGUGCAUGGGAUGGUUAGUGACUAGGACAGUGCUGAGACCGUACUACAAGCAACAUCGCUGGUGUGAUUUCAGAGUCUGGCUUCUGCGAAUCAGACACAGGGGCACGAACCACCAAACUUUGACCCUGGGAUAUCAAACCCUGGGUUUUACAUCCUGGCUCUGCCAUUGGUUAGGUAGCUGAUGCAGGGUAGCUUGAUAGUUUCCUCAUGGUAAAAUGAGCCUUAUAAUAGUCACUUAUGGGGCUGGAGAGAUGGCUCAGUGGUUAAGAGCACUGACUGCUCUUCCAGAGGUGCUGAGUUCAGGUCCCACACAGUGGCCCACAACCAUCUGUAAUGGGAUCCGAUGCCCUCUUCUGCUGUGUCUGAAGACAGUGACAGUGUACUCAUAUACAUAAAGUAAAUAAAUCUUUAAAAAAAUAAAACCAAACCUUAUCAAAAAAUAGUCACUUAUCUGUUUGUGAGGGUUAAAUAGAGGCUCCCUUUCUGCCUAUGCUAAACUGUGGGUCCCUUUCCAAGCUCAGUUGUAACCUUCCUCUGAAGGCUUUCCUGGACCUCAGCAUAGGGUAGAUUCUCAGCCCUGUCCCACUGCUUCUUACAUUGGAUGGGGCUGAGGCUGUGACCUUCCCUGGCUACUUCUCCGACUAGACCAGUGGUUCUCAACCUUCCCAAUGCUGCGGCCCUUUAAUACAGUUCCUCAUGUAGUGACCAACCCCCCAUCAUAAAAUUAUUUCAUUGCCACUUCAUAACUGUAAUUUUGCUAGUGUUAUGAAUCUUAAAGUAAAUAACUGUGUUUUUCAAAUGGUCUUAGGCACCCUGUGAAAGGAAGGAUCAUUUGGGACCCACAGUUUGAGAACUGCUACAUUAGACCAAAAGCUCUGGUGAGGAGGUUUUAGUGCCCCACAGGCAGCACAAGUGUGGGAGACCAUUGGCUUUCCUCUUUCUAGUUGAUUUUGAGAAGAGGAAUUGUUUCAGAGGAGUGACCCAAGGGAGCACGUGAGUCUAAACUGUGUGAAGACAAGCGGGAGGUUGUAGGUUCUCCGUCAGCUCCUAACAGCUCAUGCACUUCCGGGUGAUGGCUAGAGGGGAGUGGAAAGAACGUGAGAAGAAAGGCUAGACAAUAAGGAUGAGGAGAAAGAGGGGGAAGGAGGCAGGCGGGAGCCCUGGCCUGGAACAGUGUGUGUGUGUGUGUGUGUGUGUGUGUGUGUGUGUGUGUGUGUGUAGGGAAUGGGGGAGGGGUGUGUGAACAUGGAAGCUGAAGUCAGGCUGGGCUCUGGGUGGAGCAAUGCUCUCUUAAAAGGACCCAGUGUUUUCCUUCAGAGCACCGGGUUCUGUAUCCCUGACAGUUGAGAAACACAUCCCAGGACCUCUUUAUCCCGACUAUCUCAUUGCUCCACACUGUCAUUGUCACUCUGAGUAACAAAAGUGCUCUGUAAUAGGGUCUAUGUAAAAGACAGACCAUGGGGGCCAGGCAGUGAGGCACCAGCCUGACAUCUCAGCAGCGGGGAUGCAGAGGCAGAAGCAUUACAAAGUCAAGGCCAGCCUGAGGCACACAGCAAGAUUCUACCAUAAGGGUUAGGGGAAAUGCUCAGCGGUGGAGGUCUUGGCUAGGCUGGGCUAGGCCUAGGGUUCCAUGCUUUAGUGUAACUAAAAACAGAUGAACAGGUAAAUAAAAGACUUGGAGAUACCUGGGUCAAGGACAGGGGACAAUGAAGGGGGAGAUGUGGGGAACCUCAGAAUGACAAGAAAAACGGGAAAACACCAGAGCCUAGAAGAGACACCCUUUCAGAUAAAGUUCUGUACAAGAUGCUGCCACAGCUGCCACGCUGACAGAGAAGACAACAUCAGUAGGCAAAAGCAAUCCCAGCUGUCUAGGAGCAGCCCCCGGAAGUCCAGGUGGGCAGGGGCCUCGAAUCUUACUGCUGCCUCUCAGAAUUUCUAAACCAGAUGCAAGGUUGAGGACGGCUGCUAUUCCUGGUGUCCCCAAUGGUCAGAGCCAUUUGGGCUGUAUAUGGUGACAAUGCGGGCAGUGUCUCCAGGAAAAGAUCUGUACGGUCCUAUUAGUCUCAUGCUGCCGCUAAUGGAAGGAAGUGUGCAAAGUGACUGAUAUCACACCCCAGUAAGAGCCAUGAGGUAAUGCCUGAGGCGACUGCAGAUUAAUAAGUCAUAUUUAUUAAGUAUCGAGAGGGAUAAGUGAAAGACUAGGGGAAGACUUUUUUUUUCCUCAGACACGGGACUUUAAUCUUGAAAACAAGAAAGGAGCAAAGAGCCACUUUCCCUACAUGGAUUCAAAGAUUCCAUCUCAUGCACUCACAUACACACACAUGCACACAUGCAUGUGCCUACAACACAACAUAGCUUUUGUCCUGUGUCCCACGGUUCACCUGGCAAUGGCCCGAUUGGUCACAAAUCGUGCCUGGCACACUGUCCAGAGGACAUACUAGGCACCAUAAAUUUAGACUUUAUCCUGGGGAUAGUGUAAUAGUGAUUACUUCCAAAUGAGGACAUUAAAAAGUCCGUGAGGAGAUUACAUGGAAAUCUUUCAAGCAAAGCAGAAAAUGCGAAUUUAUAGGCUAUAUUUUGUACUGCAACUACCCAGAGAGCGUUCAAUUAGCAAGUUCCUGCCAGACUGCGAAUGCAGAAGCUGCUAUCAGUGAGAGCAGCAACUCUUCCAGUCUCAGCUAGGGCAAGGGUGCACUUCAUUACAGUAACCAAGAUCCGGUUCACUGCGGCGUCCUCACUGACGGCCAACAUGAAAGGGUUUGCUUUACUUAGAUGCUUGGGCCAGAAACUGGUAUAUGGCUUCUCCUGAGACUUCAGACAUCGAUUCCAGCAGCUCUUCUUUCUGUUGUCUAUGUCAGUCGUACCAUCCUGAACUCGUCCGUCUAAUUAUCCUAAUUUCAGUUAAAAAUUGUCAGUACUUGCCAAACUGGAUUGAGCAUUCCAGCGAAAUGACAAAUAGCUUUCAUCUCACACGGGGACUCUGACUGAUUGCUAAUGGCUACAAGGAUUAUUGUUGAAUGAGAGUUUUGAACCUCCUCUGAAUUCCGUAGGAAAGAAUUCUAUGAUGGAUUAGUCAUGUCUGUCAUGGGUAGGGGAAGGUAGAAAUUGCAUGCAUGCUUUGUUCAGGCUACCUCUGUAGGCCAUUUACUCUAGUGUCAGCAGGUACUUAUUUUCAUUGCCUAUGGUGUUUAUUAAGGUCAUCACAUACUACUGACUUGAUCAGUUCUCUGGAAGACCCACUAGUUGUUGAACCUCGCCUUCCAUAUUCUUCUAAGGUCACCCUGUUAGUCCUAUUCAUUUGAUAGUUCAUUGUCAUGAUUCCUAUGACCGUUUCCUUUUACAAGAAGAAUUUAUCCUCCUAAUGUCACUUUAAAGAAAAAGUUAAUGCUGGGCCUGGGAGAUGGCUGGGUGGAAAAGCACUGCCUGUGCUAAUGAGAGAAAUGGAAUUCAGAUGCCCAGACCUCUCAUAAAUGGUGGGCAGGCAUGGAGGUGUACAGACAUCACUGUACUUUGAAGGUGGAGACAGGGAACCCUUAGAGUAAGAUCACUGUCUAGUCAUGUCUCUGAGCUCUGGGUGUAACUGAGAUUCCUUGUCUCAGUUAAUAAGGUGCAGAAGGCUAGAGGAAGGCACCCAACACAAACACAUAUUCACCUUGGGUCUCCACACACAUUCACAUACACGUCAACAUUGACCCAUACACACAGAUCAUAUGUACAUACGCAUGAGAAAAAAAGUUAGCAUUGUGUUCUCAUGGGACUUGAAGCUAAGAUACACUCAUAAAAGUUUAGAAGAUACAGAAAAGGCUAGAAUAAAGACAUUGAAAAUUACCCCUCUGGGUAAGGUUUUCUAACACAGCCCAGAAUGGUACCCAUAACUGUGUCCUCCCUUCUUCAACUAGAUGUCUGGGCAGUCCUAAUUUUACAGCUCUUCUAAAUAAUGUGACAGGCAUCUUAUGAAGACUUUUCUUAAAUAUAACAAUUAGCUACACAUCCAAAUACUUACAUAACAUCUAAUCAUAAGACCCCUGGAGAGAGUGAGUUAACCUUGUCACUUAUUCAUAAAAAUUCAUUAUUGCUAAAACACGGACUAAGAAUCUGCCAAAUGUCACUAGACACCAAGAGACUGAUUAAAAGAAAAUCUCUCUUCACCAAGGAGUGAUGAAAUGCAUGCUGGGCCAAAACCUUUCACACCCAGUUUCCACUAUGUGACUUUUCUGCCUUGAACCCACAGCCUUUCCUUUCCAAGCUGCAUUCUAUAGACUUCAUUAACAGAGCAAAAUUUUGAGAGCUAGAGAGAUGGCUCGGAGGUUAAGAGCACUUCUUCUUGUAGAACACCCAGGUUUGGUUCCCAGCAUGCACAUAGCAGAUUAUAAUCAUCUCUAACUCCUGUUCCAGGGGACAUAUACCCUUUUCUGACCUCCAAGGGGGAAAAGUACACAAGGGGUACACAGACAAACAUGCAGGUAGAAUGUUCAUAGACAUAAAAUAAACAAAUCUUUAGAAACAAAAAGGGAAUUUUCAAAAUUAUGGGAGGACCUAUGUCAACAUAACAGAAAACAAAUAUAUUUUUGAAACUGGGUCUUACUAUGUAGGUCUGGCUGGUCUAGAAUUUUCUAUGUUGACCAGGCUGCCCUGGUCACUUACUAAUACUGUUGGUCUAAUCUAUACUUCAUCUGUUAGCACUUAAAGCUCCUGACUCUCCAGUAGGGUUGCAAGGAAGCAGAGCACAGAAUCAAGCCCGGUACACCAUGCUGGAUUCUUCUCUGCGUGUGUGCAGAGCAUUCGUGGCUUGAACCAGACAGUGCUAUGCCUGAGGGAAACAGUGAAGGCUUGUGCUGCUGUCUAGAGACUGCUUCUGGGCUCCUUAUAUCCACCUCAGACAUAAUCCCUAGAGCCACUUCCUGCUACAGCCUUUCAACUUGUUCGCCCAAGCUCCCUGUCACCCAGUUCCCUUUGACAGGAACUCGAAGGCAUCCACCUUCCAAAGACAUUGGAAGCCUCAGCACCUCCAUUUGCCAGGUGCUUGCCCAUCUGUUUUGCUACUCAGUGGUGUCCAGCUAUGUGUUAACUUCUCGAUUCCCAACGGCGCCUUCAGAAUCACAGCAAGUAGUUUAUGUACAGGAGAUCAUUUUGCUCGCUAAUGCCUACGCUCGCAAGUGCCCUGAAGCUGUAGCUGGGGGGUGUGUGGGUUACCCUGUAGACUCAAGAACAAUUCUAUAGAAUGUAGAGGCGCCCCCAACCCUUCCCAGCCUGGCAGAUACUAAGCUAGUGAUUAACUGCAUGCCCGUGAGGAGGUGUAAAUAACAUUAAGCUGUGUGGCUUCCUAAGGACAAAGCCAGGACAGCCUGCUAGCAUGGCAUGCCUAACAGCUAAGCACAGCACGUCUAUUCGAGGAGCUGUUACUGCUUCUCCACACUACUGUCUCAAGAGACACAUUCCCAGCUCACGGCUCAAGUUUGGAUUCCUUGCUGGAAUGAGUGAUCUCCUCUGUAAAUCUGUCCCUUGUCUAUGUAAUUUAUGAUAUUGAAUUUCUGGACCCAGAAUGCAGAAUGAAACUAAGCCAGGGUAUGUUGGGGGGAGCACUUGGACACUUACUAAGAUUGUCCUCCUGAAGCAGGCAGUUGGGCUGUGUGUCUCCUCUAGCCUGUCACGGCAGAGGGACUGAAUUAUACUCCUCAAGACUCCAGGGCCAAACAAACUGAUACUUGGAACUCUCUAUGUCACCCCUAAACAACCACGGUCAUUUCAGUAGGAUGUGUAUGUAAUAGAAAGGCCAGGCCAGGGGAUGUAUAUCAGUAGAGUCUUCUGCUGCUGCCCCCAACCCGAGCCUAGUUCUGCCCAACAUGUGUAUGUCUAGAGCCGUGCACAGGUGCAGAGCUCUGAACAGCGCAUGCCCGUGUGCUCACAUGGGUGGGGCAUUAUUCUGAAGGAGGCUGGCGGCAAGGACAUCCUAGAGGUAAAGCAGAGAAACUGCCAAGGGAGGAAACAACCACAAUGGUACUCUGAGGUGGCAGGCAUCAGAGCAUAGAAAAUAUGGAAACAAUGUAAUGCUUCCCCUUAGUGAGAUUUAGUAACAGUUUAUCAAACCUAACCAAAUAGAACGUACACGCUAACAUUAAGAUCAUACCGACCACCCUUACCCAAGAAGGAACAGCUAUGAUUCUGAAAGCUGACUCCAAAGGCCUUGGGCUUUUCAAAAAGCAACAGAAUUUGUAAACCGAUCAACAGCGUUUAAAAAAAGUGAAAUAAAUCUUUGGGUUUGAUAAUUAAAGCCAAGAGCACCAAGAAAAUUCACGUUUUCUUCUAUGUCUCGUUGGUUUUGAGAGUUCGACAAUAUUUGCACGAUUGCAGCAGAUCUAAAUCUUAAUAAAAUGGACUCGUGCCAAAAGACUAGAAAUACCAUAUUUGAGUGUUUGCUGAAGGUUCUUAUAGUUAACAAGGGGGAAAAAAUUCUACUGCAAGCGUCAUUAACUGCGACUAUAGUGUUUAAAAUGUAUUCUGAGUCACGUCUCCCAUGGAGAGGGUUAAUUUACUUUUUCAUCCAUGAGUAAAGAUGUAGUAUUUAACACGUGCAUUAAAACAAGUGCUAUCUGGAAGGUCAGGCAACAAAGGCUUGGUUGAUUAAAAGAUAAUAAUCCUUAAUAAAGUGGAGUCA